rnacentral:rRNA from 1 species
UACGUAGGGUGCGAGCGUUGUCCGGAAUUAUUGGGCGUAAAGAGCUCGUAGGCGGUGUGUCACGUCGUUCGUGAAAACCUGCAGCUUAACUGUGGGCGUGCGGUCGAUACGGGCAUCACUGGAGUUCGGCAGGGGAGACUGGAAUUCCUGGUGUAGCGGUGAAAUGCGCAGAUAUCAGGAGGAACACCGGCGGCGAAGGCGGCCCUCUGGAUCGUUGCUGACGCUGAGACGCGAAAGCGUGGGGAGCAAACAGG